GUCGAGGGGCAGCAAGGUCUUAGCUUGCUAAGGCCGAUGGCGACCGGCGCACCGUUGAGUAACACGUAUCCAACCUGCCGUCUACUCUUGGACAGCCUUCUGAAAGGAAGAUUAAUACAAGAUGGCAUCAUGAGUCCACAUGUUCACAUGAUUAAAGGUAUUCCGGUAGACGAUGGGGAUGCGUUCCAUUAGAUAGUAGGCGGGGUAACGGCCCACCUAGUCUUCGAUGGAUAGGGGUUCUGAGAGGAAGGUCCCCCACAUUGGAACUGAGACACGGUCCAAACUCCUACGGGAGGCAGCAGUGAGGAAUAUUGGUCAAUGGGCGAGAGCCUGAACCAGCCAAGUAGCGUGAAGGAUGACUGCCCUAUGGGUUGUAAACUUCUUUUAUAAAGGAAUAAAGUCGGGUAUGGAUACCCGUUUGCAUGUACUUUAUGAAUAAGGAUCGGCUAACUCCGUGCCAGCAGCCGCGGUAAUACGGAGGAUCCGAGCGUUAUCCGGAUUUAUUGGGUUUAAAGGGAGCGUAGAUGGAUGUUUAAGUCAGUUGUGAAAGUUUGCGGCUCAACCGUAAAAUUGCAGUUGAUACUGGAUAUCUUGAGUGCAGUUGAGGCAGGCGGAAUUCGUGGUGUAGCGGUGAAAUGCUUAGAUAUCACGAAGAACUCCGAUUGCGAAGGCAGCCUGCUAAGCUGCAACUGACAUUGAGGCUCGAAAGUGUGGGUAUCAAA
rnacentral:rRNA from 1 species